AUUGAACGCUGGCGGCAGGCCUAACACAUGCAAGUCGAGCGGAGCGGCGGACGGUUGAGUAAUGUCUGGUAACCUGCCUGUUGGAGGGGGAUAACUACUGGAAACGGUAGCUAAUACCGCAUACUAGCCGCUUAGCCUAGGUCGGAUUGGAUAGUUGGUGGGGUAAUGGCCUACCAAGGCGACGAUCCGUAACUGGUCUGAGAGGGUGAUCAGUCACACUGGAACUGAGAAACGGUCCAGACUCCUACGGGAGGCAGCAGUGGGGAAUAUUGGACAAUGGGCGAAAGCCUGAUCCAGCAAUGCCGCGUGUGUGAAGAAGGUUUUCGGAUGGUAAAGCACUUUAAGUUGGGAGGCGGUACCAACAGAAUAAGCACCGGCUAACUUCGUGCCAGCCGCCGCGGUAAUUC
rnacentral:rRNA from 1 species